GCAAGUCGAACGGUAACAGGCUAAAUUGAUCCCUUCGGGGUGAUAGGUGCGCUGACGAGUGGCGGACGGGUGAGUAAUACGUAGGAAUCUGCCCAAUAGCGGGGGACAACUAUCGGAAACGGUAGCUAAUACCGCAUAAGCCUUACGAGGGAAAGAUGGCCUCUUCUUGAAAGCUAUCACUAUUGGAUGAGCCUACGUCGGAUUAGCUUGUUGGUAGGGUAAUGGCCUACCAAGGCGACGAUCCGUAGCUGGUCUGAGAGGAUGAUC
rnacentral:rRNA from 1 species